AGCAGCCGCGGUAAUUCCAGCUCCAAUAGCGUAUAUUAAAGUUGUUGCAGUUAAAAAGCUCGUAGUUGAAUUUCGGAAUCUGUCCAUCGGUCGGGCUUCACUGUCCGUACUGGUGUGGUGGGUUCUUACCUUCUGAAUAACCAGCAUGCCAUUCACUUGGUGCGCUGGGGAAGCAGGACUAUUACCUUGAAAAAUUAGAGUGCUCAAAGCAGGCUAGUGCCUGAAUACAUUAACAUGGAAUAAUAAAAUAGGACGGCAUGGUUCUAUUUUGUUGGUUUCUAGGAUCACCGUAAUGAUUAAUAGGGAUAGUUGGGGGCAUUAGUAUUCAAUUGUCAGAGGUGAGAUUCUUGGAUUUAUUGAAGACUAACUUCUGCGAAAGCAUUUGCCAAGGAUGUUUUCAUUAAUCAAGAACGAAAGUCAGGGGAUCGAAGACGAUCA
rnacentral:rRNA from 1 species